CUCCCGACUACACGGCCAUCCUGGGCAUUAGUGACGAGGCGGCCCGGUUGCGGGCGCUGGACGCUGCACCUCAGCACGCCAGAGCUACUUGCAGGGCUUUGCCCUGUCUCAGGCGGACGUGGAUGCCUUCAGGCAGCUCUCGGGCCCUCCGGCCGACCCGCAGCUCUUCCACGUGGCCCGCUGGUUCCGGCAUGUGACCGCGAUCCUGGGCAGCCCCCGCCGCCGCCCGCCCUGCGGGCUCAAGCAAGUGAGUAGCAGAGCAGCUUCUGGCGUGAGACCCUCCUUGCUGGCCUGGGGCCCUGCCAGCGCCCGAGGAGGUUAGGAUGGAAGCCGAGGCGCCGACCCCAAGGAUCACGACCCGCACUGCUGUGGUGGAGCCGCUGGUGGGUGGGGCCCGCCUUGGCCGUCAGCUCCUGACCCGCUUGGACUUGACUUGCUUCUCCUUAAGUUUCCCCUGAGGUCACAGGUGUGUGUGCAUCCACCAUCGGAUCCUGAAGCAGUGUUAGUGGUGGGAACCCUGCGCACCCAGGCGAAGGCAUUUCUGGGCUUUGAGAGGAGGGGCUCAGGCUCUUGCUCCCCGCCAUCCCGGUUGUGGUGUGCAGGGGCGUCUGGCUGCUGGAUGGUCUCUCCUCCCAUGAAUCUGUAGAUGAAUCCGUGGUGGCGGUGCCCUCGAGCAGCUGUCCCCCAGCCUGGCUUGGGUGUGCACCCCUUGAGCGGGGCGGGAGAUCCACGUGCGGUCUCCGUGGUCCCUGCUGGACCGGGCAGACUGCGGGUCUUUUCUAGAUCCUUCAGCGGGACAGUCCCUGGAGAAGGAAGCGGCUACCCGCUCCAGUAUUCUGGCCGGAGAAUCUCAUGGACUGUAUGGUCCAUGGGGUGCAUAAAGUCGAGUGAGCGACUUGCACUUUCACCUGGACGUUGGGGACCUGCCCUCUGCCGGUCCCUCUGUAACGGGUGGAGGUGGGGUGGUGUUCCUCCUGGGUGGGGUGGGCUUUGGUUUCUGGGUGAUCCUGCCGCAGACGCCCUUCCCAGUGGAGGUGGUGCUUCUCCCAGGCGUGGCCUCCCGGGUGGGGUCAGGGUGGGCGGGCGCAGCCUUGGCGUGGCCAUCUGUCUGGAGCUGCAACCUCCACCCUGGAGCUUGUGGGGAGAGUGGCACAGGAACCCAUUGGGAAGGGUGGGUAUCCGCCCCUGCAAAGGAGGGAGUGGGUUCCCCAGGGCAGGGAGGCCUUCCUGGUGCCCCGACACGGAUGCCUCCAGGGUGCCUGCGGGACCCCGAGUGGCAAGAUGCCUGGUGGACUGGGGCUCAGAACCCUCAGGGUCGGUGUCCUCUGCUGAGUCCCUGGGUGCCAGUGGCCGGCGUCUGCCUCGCUGGUGCGUCUCAGGCGUCCCCAGCCUGUCCUGGGUGGUGCCCCCACCCCGGGUGCUCUCUGUCCCCCACUGCCCUAUCCCCUCCCAAGAGGAGUUUCAGGGCCUGCUCUUGCCCACAGAGGGUGGCUCAUGGCCCUGCGGGUCCCCAGGGUGUGACCCUCUGAGCCGCCCCUCUUGCGAGGCUGUGGUGCGUGUGGCGUCCGAGUGCGCAAUCACGGGCUGGCAUGUCCUUUUGUCCCCCACUCCCAAACCCUCCCUGCCCGGAGCCUCACUCUCCGGGCCUCAGUGA
rnacentral:lncRNA from 1 species